rnacentral:rRNA from 1 species
UACGGAGGGUGCGAGCGUUGUUCGGAAUCACUGGGCGUAAAGGGCGUGUAGGCGGUCUGCUAAGUCUGAUGUGAAAGCCCGGGGCUCACCCCCGGAAGUGCAUUGGAUACUGGCGGACUCGAGUCCCGGAGAGGAGAGUGGAAUUCCUGGUGUAGCGGUGAAAUGCGUAGAUAUCAGGAGGAACACCGGUGGCGAAGGCGGCUCUCUGGACGGUGACUGACGCUGAGGCACGAAAGCGUGGGGAUCAAACAGG